GAUGAACGCUGGCGGCGUGCCUAAUACAUGCAAGUCGAGCGAACAGACGAGGAGCUUGCUCCUCUGACGUUAGCGGCGGACGGGUGAGUAACACGUGGAUAACCUACCUAUAAGACUGGGAUCACUUCGGGAAACCGGAGCUAAUACCGGAUAAUAUAUUGAACCGCAUGGUUCAAUAGAGAAAGACGGUUUUGCUGUCACUUAUAGAUGGAUCCGCGCCGCAUUAGCUAGUUGGUAAGGUAACGGCUUACCAAGGCAACGAUGCGUAGCCGACGUGAGAGGGUGAUCGGCCACAUUGGAACGGAGACACGGUCCAGACUCCUACGGGAGGCAGCAGUAGGGAAUCUUCCGCAAUGGGCGAAAGCUUGACGGAGCGACGCCGCGUGAGUGAUGAAGGUCUUCGGAUCGUAAAACUCUGUUAUUAGGGAAGAACAAAUGUGUAAGUAACUAUGCACGUCUUGACGGUACCUAAUCAGAAAGCCACGGCUAACUACGUG
rnacentral:rRNA from 1 species